rnacentral:rRNA from 1 species
GUGGGGAAUUUUCCGCAAUGGGCGAAAGCCUGACAGAGCAAUGCCGCGUGGAGGUGGGAGGCCUACGGGUCGUCAACUUCUUUUCUCGGAGAAGAAACAAUGACGGUAUCUGAGGAAUAAGCAUUCGGCUAACUCUGUGCCAG